GCACUGGCUUUACUCAAGUGGAUGGUCGUGUUCUGCCUUCGCCAAGGAAGAGGCAAUUCGAAGAUCUACUGCACAAGAGCAGGAUGAUAUUCAAGCUUUGAGGUUUGUUACCUUAUUUAUAUAUAUAAAGGAUUCUGUUAUACUUUCUGUAUUUGUUACCUUAUUUCUGGUUUUGGAACCUUUUAAGUUGUAACUCCAUAUUUAUAAUUUUGUCCUGUGAAGUGUUAGCUCGUAGAGAAGUAGUAAUUAGCGUAUGUAUCACAUUCACAACUGUGGCGCUAACAUUGCACUCUAUCUGUUUGUAUAAAUGUCUCACCCAAUAACUGAAAUUUUUUUGCAGCAAAACCGUGUUAUUUUUAUUCUCGUAACAAUUACAGCUUUAGAUACAUGGAAACCAAGUCAUUUGAGGAACCUUAUUCCACCAACGAUGAGGUCUACUUGCAAAAUGCAAGUGAUGAAGAUGAUAAUGACAGUACCUUUUCUUCCAGUUCCACCACCAAGUUACAGUUCAGAUACAAAAAAGAAAUAUAUGAACUUGUAAAGAAGCGGUCAGAGGAGGCUGACAAUGUCAAUGAGAUAAUCAAUAACUUUUCCAUGUGUGUCAUCUCCAGGUCUAUUUAUUCAUUCACUGUUGAUUAUUGUUUUAUUGUUCAUUGCCGAUGGUCUUGCUGUUGCUGGGCAAGUUGAUACCUCUCUGUUUACAUAAUGCACUAUUUUUUACUUCAUCCUACUUUCAAUCUAUUUUUGUUCAUACCUCUCUGUUUACAUAAUGCCAAAUCUAUGUUUGCUGGGCAGCUUGAGUAUUACAGGUUCUUUACAUUGCUAUUUAAAAAAAAAAUCCUAAUCUUUGCUCAAUUAAAUUAGCUGUAAGACUAACAAACAAUUAUAUUGCAGAUGGUUUGGUUCUAGGAUUGGCUCUUGCAUUCAUUCUUGGUGUAGGACUUCCUUUUGGAGCUAAACUAUUUACAAGAGAUGUUGAUGUCCUCCACCUCAUAAAAAUUGGAAUACUUUUUGUUGCAGCCACCCAACCCAUCAAUGCUUUGGCAUUUGUAUUUUUGCAGACUAUAAUCUAUCUCCUUACGUGAGAUGGUUAUUACAACCCUGGGUGAUCUGCAUGGGCUCUAUCCGGGGAUCAUUAUUGCAAAAUAAGGUUUUGAGGAUUAAGGAUAAGUCUACUGAUCAGUUUGGAUGAGAUGGCGUCUUCACAAAAUGUCGAGUUGGAGGCAGCCAACUUUCUGCAUAAACUUACUCAGGAUUCUAAAGAUGAGCCAGCUAAGCUGGCUACUAAACUCCAUGUUAUAUUACAACAUAUGAAAUCCAGCGGGAAGGAACAUUCAAUGCCAUAUCAAGUGAUAUCAAGGGCUAAAUUUAUAUCUGCAGAAGAAAGAGUUGGUGUCACUUUUGAUGAUUUUCCUGGCCAGGAAUAUAUAAAGAGGGAAUUGUGAGAGAUUGUACAAAUUUUAAAGAAUGAUGAGGAGUUUCAAGACAAAGGAAUUUAUUGUCCAAAAGGUGUGCUUCUCGAUGGACCUCCAGGAACUGGUAAAACUCUACUGGCUAAAGCCAUCGCUGGGAAGCAGGGUUGCCUUUUUUUGCGGCAAAUGGCACAGAUUUUGUAGAGGUCUGACAUUGAUCAGAGUGUGCUGGUUGUGAUCGUACCUAGAUCAUAUGCUCCACUCUGUAAAUGAAUGAAACUUAUACCCAUGGAAUAUGGAAUAUUUAAUGCAUAAAAAUUGUCUUCAUCUUUAAAGUUAAAAAUCAGCUUAUUUAAUUUGCUCUUC